AGAUAAAGAUGAGGCUAACUAACAUCUGUCUGCGGAGGACUCUUGAGUACUUCGGUCACAUCGCAAGGAAGAACGCCAGCAAUAUUGAAAAACUCAUGGUCACUGGUAAGAUCGAAGGAAAGAGACCCCGCGGACGUAGCCCGAGACGUUGGUCAGACCAAAUAAAAGAAGCGGUCAACACACCCAUCUGUGAUGCAAUCCAUGCGGCAAAAAACAGAGUGCAAUGGAAAAACAUCGUAGCAAGGAUUGCGUCAAAGGGGAGCCACGAUCCUCAAAAUUGAGGAAGCGACGCAGGAAGAAUAUUAUAAUAAAAGCUGACU